rnacentral:misc_RNA from 1 species
GGAAGUAAAAGUGUAACAAGGUCUCCGUAGGUGAACCUGCGGAGGGAUCAUUACAGAGUUCAUGCCCUACCGGGUAGAUCUCCCACCCUAUGUUAUUAUUACUUUGUUGCUUUGGCGGGCCGUUAGGCUCCGGCCCGACUACCGGCCCCGGCUGGUAAGCGCCCGCCAGAGGACCCAAAACCCUGGAUAUUAGUGUCGUCUGAGUACUAUAUAAUAGUUAAAACUUUCAACAACGGAUCUCUUGGUUCUG